rnacentral:lncRNA from 1 species
GCUCAACACACGUGUUGAAUGCAGGGAGAGAGAAUGAACGAAGACCAGCUGUGAGAAAUGAGAGGAAGGCAGAGCAUCCUUCCUCUUGGGCCUCACUCCAUCCUGUGAUGGUCCAGGCUUCCGGGCGGAAGAGCACAGAGGACUUCCUUCCAUGAGGGCCUCUCCACCCUUCCUCUGAGAGGUGGCCCUGCAGUCUUCAACACGGAGAAAGUCAGGGGGCUGAGGGUGAGUGAAAGGCCAUUUCCUUUGCCCGGCCUGUCACCUGCUCCAGGAGAGGUAGGUGGCUCUCCUCACAGUCCUGGAGAUGCCUGCCCGGACUCUGGCCCAGGUGGCCUUCCUGAUGCGCCGGCUGAGAGUGCUGGGACCUGUCAGAGCAGCUGACACCUGCUUAUUCAGUCACCCUGAGAAAAACCUAGAAUCAGCUUCAGAUACGGAUUGCACGGUGGAGGAAUUAAAGGAAAGGAGGCCAUUAACUUCAGAUGUCCGGUGGCCAGAGUUCCCAAACAGAGAAGAACCGUGCCAGGGGCUUGGCCAGGACUGCCCUCAGGACAAGCACGCUGUGUCACAAAUGAGGAGUCCACCACACCAAAGAAUUACGGAGUCUACGACAUGCGCAGUGGGAAUGAUGAAAAGCCCUGAGACAGCCCCAUCCAGGACAGCAGGGAAGAUGGGCAGCUGUGAGGACCGUCGCUGAGGCGGCCGGAGCUCUCUCUGGAGGCCUGAUACCUCCACCCCCCAUCCCAGGAGGGGCCGCAUGGUGGGCUCCCUGGGAGCCCACGGGGCUGCUCUCGGGCAUCCUGUCGAGAUACCCACUGCACUGGGUGAGGCCUGUGCGCCACAGCCAACCCUCCUGAGUAAUUUCAGAGAGAAGCUUAUAAAGCAUUUUAAG